ACCAAUUGGAGCAGAAGCUCGGCCAAGGACUUGGAAAGGAAACUGCCUUGAUCGAACUCUGGUCAUACUAUCCGCUCUACUACACUAUUCUAUGUGGCAACAUGAGGAAAUUUUUACAAGAAAUUGAGAAGAUAU